GCCGGGCGCGGUGGCUCACGCCUGUAAUCCUAGCACUCUGGGAGGCCGAGGCGGGCGGAUUGUUUGAGCUCAGGAGUUCGAGACCAGCCUGAGCAAGAGCGAGACCCCGUCUCUACUAAAAAUAGAAAGAAAUUAUCUGGCCAACUAAAAUAUAUAUAGAAAAAAUUAGCCGGGCAUGGUGGCGCAUGCCUGUAGUCCCAGCUACUCGGGAGGCUGAGGCGGGCGGAUUGUUUGAGCUCAGGAGUUCGAGACCAGCCUGAGCAAGAGCGAGACCCCGUCUCU
rnacentral:sRNA from 1 species